rnacentral:rRNA from 1 species
GACGAACGCUGGCGGCGGGCUUAACACAUGCAAGUCGAACGGAAAGGCCCUGCUUUCGUGGUGUGAUCGAGUGCCGAACGGGUGAGUAACAGGUGAGUAUCCUGCCCUUGACUUUCGUAUAACUUCACGAAAGUGGGGCUACUACCGGAUCGGAUAUCCCGUAGCGUGGUGGGGGGGGGAAAGUCUAGGCGGGUGUGGAUGGAUUAGCGGGUUAUCAGCUUGCUGGUGGGGUAGUGGCUGACCAAGGCAUUGACUGGUAGGCGGCCUGAGAGGGUGACCGGCGACCUUGCUACUGAGAGACGGCCCAGACGCCUACGUGAGGCAGUAGUGGGGAGUAUUGCACAAUGGGCGGGAGCCUGAUGCAGCAACGCCGCGGUCGGGAUGACGGCCUUCGGGUUGUAAACCGCUUUCGCCUGUGACGAAGCGUGAGUGACGGUAAUGAGUAAAGAAGCACCGGCUAACUACGUG